rnacentral:rRNA from 1 species
UCUGGUGCCAGCAGCCGCGGUAAUUCCAGCUCCAAUAGCGUAUAUUAAAGUUGUUGCAGUUAAAAAGCUCGUAGUUGGAUCUCGGGUCCAGGCCCGCGGUUCUGCUCAUGCAGACACUGCUCGUCCUGACCCAGCUCGCCGGUGCGCCCUUGGUGCCCUUAACUGGGUGUCUCGGGUGCCCGGAACGUUUACUUUGAAAAAAUUAGAGUGUUCAAAGCAGGCUGUCCACGCCUGAAUAAUGGUGCAUGGAAUAAUAGAAUAGGACCUCGGGUCUAUUGUGUUGGUUUUCGGAAACCGAGGUAAUGAUUAAGAGGGACGGACGGGGGCAUUCGUAUUACGGUGUUAGAGGUGAAAUUCUUGGAUCGCCGAAAGACGAACUACUGCGAAAGCUUUUGCCAAGGUUGUUUUCAUUAUUCAAGAACGAAAUUCAGAGGUCCGAAGACAAU